UACGUAGGGUGCGAGCGUUAAUCGGAAUUACUGGGCGUAAAGCGUGCGCAGACGGCGCGUUAAGACAGGUGUGAAAGCCCCGAGCUUAACUUGGGAAUUGCGCUUGUGACUGGCGUGCUGGAGUGUGGCAGAGGGAGGUGGAAUUCCACGUGUAGCAGUGAAAUGCGUAGAGAUGUGGAGGAACACCGAUGGCGAAGGCAGCCUCCUGGGCCAGCACUGACGCUCAUGCACGAAAAGCGUGGGGAGCGAAACAGGA
rnacentral:rRNA from 1 species